GCUCUUCCAGCUCAACACUCACACUACAAAGUGAAGCGGUUGACCUCUGACCUCAACCCACGAGGUUAAGAGAGCUUCCACAGGUCAUGAGAUGGAGCUCCCUUCAAGGCCACGCCUCGCUGGAUCAGGCCGCUGAUGAACCCAAAGCCAGAUAUUUAUAUCAUUUAGAUUUUUAGCAGCCCUCUCUAGCAGAUCACGUAACACGUACGGCACACACGCUGCGUGAAAGGCCUCAUUGUUGGCCCCUCACGCCGCUCGGCUCGAUGCGGUCCCCGGCGAGGACAAAUAUAGCAGCAGCCCGCUUGUUCCCACGUGGAGCUUCGAGGAACCCUGCGGUAGCACAGAACUACCACGUCGCUGUAAUAGCGUGUUAUGCAACCGUUCAGCUGACUGCCGGCCGUCCCAAACCUGACGCCACCGACCCCCGGGGCCCUUUGGAAUGCUGCCGGGGCCCGUCUGCACCUCCCCGCACUCGCUCUGGCGUCCGAAGGACGUGUGGAGAACCGGUUCCGUAGAAUCCUGCGAUUCUAAAGUGGGAAAAAUAUUAUGGAAAAAUUGACAUCCUGUAGGCUUUCCAUUUCUUUCAUCACUAAUAUCACUUGCACAUGUGCUCAAACUUCCUACAUUUCUGGUUGCUGGUUUUGGUUGAGGGAUUCGACAUUGCAUGUGUUUUUUAGAUGGGUGUAGAUUUGCGUUUGUCGUCCAAACAUGUUCCCCAAACACA